rnacentral:lncRNA from 1 species
AUUAGCGAGGUUGCGUGUUCAAAUUCUUGCAACGGUGAACCCACAGAGUCAAUCCCUGCUUUAUUAUUACGGAUAGAUAGAUUGGAUGUAAAAAGGCAAGGUGGUACUAUUUAGUAGAUUAGACAACAUUACAUUUUUUGAACCAAAGAUUCACCUUUUUUUUUGAGUAAACUGUAUCCUUUAUUAGAGGUUCAAACACAUGGGGAUACAGAUUAUGUCGGGCAAAAUACUAAGCCACACAUGGCGCCCGGUGCUAAGAGAGGCUGCUGCCUUUGCCAGAGCAUGCGCUUCUCCAUUGUGCUUUCUAUUCUCAUGAAGAAACGUUACAUCUUAAAAAUGGUUCCUCUCAUGCUUGAUAUCCUGAAGGAUGGAAAAAUAUCGACAAGGGACUUCAUGUUGGAUGUUCCUUAUUACCUCCAGGCAAUCUGAAGCCACGCAGAACGAUUGAACCUGCAGAUCUGAGGCGAGGUAGAGCGCCUCGCAGCAGGCCUGUGCUUCGAGGAUGGUUGGGUCGAGGCGACCGUCGUAGAUGAUGGCCGAGGCUCCCAAAUAGUUUCCUCCUUUGUCCCUGCAUACGACUGCUGCAGCUGCGCGAUCGCCAACCUUCGAAAAACCUGCAUCUACAUUGAAUUCACAUCAUGAUACUCAGGCGGGAGCCACGCAUGUGGGGGCGGGACCCUUAGUAUUCUUCCGAUUGCAUGCAGGUCCCUGGGGUUUGCAUGCAAGUCCCCAGGCGUUUCAAGUAGGUCCUCGGAACUUGUAUUCUUGUUCGGUAACAUCUCUAGCUCCAGCAGAAACUUUUCGAUGAAAGUGUGGGUGCUUAGUGGGCUCUGGUACUGGUCGUCGUGGCUGAAUCAGCCAUGCUUCGGUGUUUUCUGACUUCUCCCGUUGGUAUCGAGCUCUGGGCUAGUCUCAGGACUUCAUGUUGGAUGUUCCUUAUUACCUCCAGGCAAUCUGAAGCCACGCAGAACGAUUGAACCUGCAGAUCUGAGGCGAGGUAGAGCGCCUCGCAGCAGGCCUGUGCUUCGAGGAUGGUUGGGUCGAGGCGACCGUCGUAGAUGAUGGCCGAGGCUCCCAAAUAGUUUCCUCCUUUGUCCCUGCAUACGACUGCUGCAGCUGCGCGAUCGCCAACCUUCGAAAAACCUGUAUCUACAUUGAAUUCACAUCAUGAUACUCAGGCGGGAGCCACGCAUGUGGGGGCGGGACCCUUAGUAUUCUUCCGAUUGCAUGCAGGUCCCUGGGGUUUGCAUGCAAGUCCCCAGGCGUUUCAAGUAGGUCCUCGAAACUUGUAUUCUUGUUCGGUAACAUCUAUGGCCGAGGCUCCCAAAUAGUUUUCUCCUUUGUCCCUGCAUACGACUGCUGCAGCUGCGCGAUCGCCAACCUUCGAAAAACCUGCAUCUACAUUGAAUUUCACAUCAUGAUACUCAAGCGGGAGCCACGCAUGUGGGGGCGGGACCCUUAGUAUUCUUCCGAUUGCAUGCAGGUCCCUGGGGUUUGCAUGCAAGUCCCCAGGCGUUUCAAGUAGGUCCUCGGAACUUGUAUUCUUGUUCGGUAACAUCUCUAGCUCCAGCAGAAACUUUUCGAUGAAAGUGUGGGUGCUUAGUGGGCUCUGGUACUGGUCGUCGUGGCUGAAUCAGCCAUGCUUCGGUGUUUUCUGACUUCUCCCGUUGGUAUCGAGCUCUGGGCUAGUCUCAGGACUUCAUGUUGGAUGUUCCUUAUUACCUCGAGGCAAUCUGAAGCCACGCAGAACGAUUGAACCUGCAGAUCUGAGGUGAGGUAGAGCGCCUCGUAGCAGGCCUGUGCUUUGAGGAUGGUUGGGUCGAGGCGACCGUCGUAGAUGAUGGCCGAGGCUCCCAAAUAGUUUCCUCCUUUGUCCCUGCAUACGACUGCUGCAGCUGCGCGAUCGCCAACCUUCGAAAAACCUGCAUCUACAUUGAAUUCACAUCAUGAUACUCAGGCGGGAGCCACGCAUGUGGGGGCGGGACCCUUAGUAUUCUUCCGAUUGCAUGCAGGUCCCUGGGGUUUGCAUGCAAGUCCCCAGGCGUUUCAAGUAGGUCCUCGGAACUUGUAUUCUUGUUCGGUAACAUCUCUAGCUCCAGCAGAAACUUUUCAAUGAAAGUGUGGGUGCUUAGUGGGCUCUGGUACUGGUCGUCGUGGAUAGCUCGGCGUCUUGCCCACCAUAUGGCCCACAUUGUCACCAAAACCCUUGCUAGAUCAGCCGAAGGAAGGGUGUCAACCAACCAUAGCAUCCAAAGUUUGGCACCCUUCUCCCUGUUUGAUAUGACUGUUUCCGUAAGAUCCUCGUCCGAGAGGGCCCAAACACAGCACGCCAUGCGGCAGUCAAAAAGGGAAUGGCGCCAUGUAUCGAUCACCGCGUGACAGAUCCCGCACUCUGCUGAAUCAGCCAUGCUUCGGUGUUUUCUGACUUCUCCCGUUGGUAUCGAGCUCUGGGCUAGUCUCCAUGCGAACACCCGUACCUUCGAUGGAACUGCGGCACCCCAUAGUGUAGACCAAGACCGGUAAUCCGCCGUGGGCCGUGAAUGACCCUCGGCGUGUUCAAGCCAAUCAGUGCGUUGCUGUUUAAUGGAUGACAUGAGUUUGUAUGCCGACCUGACCAUGAAGACGCCCUUGCGCUCAUAGUGCCAGGCCCAGAAGUCAUCAUGGAUUCGGGGGCUGAGAGGGAUGUUGACUAUUGCUUCCUUGUCCAUAGCAUAGAGAUGCAUAUCAACCACCUCGACGUCCCAGGAAGAGGUGGCCGAGUUUAUGAGUUCUGAAACCAUCUGUGGAGGAUUGCUCGUCUUCGGGCACACCGGUUGGAGCUUAAAAUCGCGUGGUAUCCAGUUGUCCGUCCAAAUGUUGGUGUCUUCCCCCGAGCCGAUGCGCUUUACAAGGCCAAGUUUCAGCGUGUCACGGCCUUCAAUCAAGGAGCGCCAGACCUGAGAUGGGUUCCUUCCCAGCUCGGCAUCAAGGAUUGACGAUGUAGGAUAAUAAACCGCCUUGAGGAUUCGCGCGCUGAGAGAGUUUGGUUCCUGAAGGAGUCGCCAGGCUUGUCACGCAAGCAAGGCUAAGUUAAAGAGCUCGAUGUCACGGAAGCCCAUACCUCCCAUGAAUUUUGGUUGUGUCAUCACUUCCCAGGAGACCCAAGCCAUUUUCCUCUCGCCUUUCUUGGAUCCCCACCAAAAUUUCCUCAAGAUGCCAUUUAUGUGUUGGCAUAGACCACGUGGGAGCUUGAAGCAGGCCAUGGAAUAUGUUGGGAUUGCUUGCGCCACGGACUUGAUGAGCACCUCUUUCCCUCCAACCGAGAGUGUCUUCUCCAUCCACCCUUGUACUUGCUUCCAAAUCCUGUCCUUCAAAUAUUUAAAAGAGCCCUCCUUUGCUCUUCCCACAUCGGCUGGGAGCCCCAGGUACUUCUCGGAGAGCUUCUCAUUUUGUACUUGGAGGAGUUGUUUAAUUUCUUGCCUCGAGGCCUCGGAGCAGCCCUUGCUGAAGAAAAUGGAGGAUUUCUCCUUGUUGAUGCGCUGCCCUGAAGCUGCACAGUACUUUUGAAGAAGGGUAUCCACUCUAUUGGCCAUCUCCGGGGUGGCAUUGAAAAAUAGGAGACUAUCAUCUGCGAAAAGCAAGUGAUUUACCUGUGGUGCGCCGGUUGCUACUGUAAUACCAUCCACCCUUUCGUCGGCUCUGGUGGAUUUCAGGAGACAUGAGAGCCCUUCCGCAGCCAAAAGGAAUAGGUAUGGGGAUAUGGGGCAGCCCUGUCGGAGGCCGCGGGAGGGCCUAAACUCCUCCUGUUUGUCUCCGUUGAAGAUAACCGAAAAGGACACAGAAGUGACGCAUCUCAUUACCGUAUUUGUAAAGCGUGGGCUUAUACCCAAUUUUAGCAUUACUCUCUCCAAAUAGUGCCACUCGAGCCUAUCGUAGGCCUUCAUCAUAUCCAGUUUUAAAGCACAAAACCUGUUGCCCUUUAGCUUCCUUGUUUUCAUAUAAUGCAAACACUCAUAUGCUGAUAUGAAGUUGUCUGUGAUAAGGCGACCCGGAACAAAUGCUGACUGUUCUUCGGAGAUGACAUGGGGGAGGAUGAUCUUAAGCCGGUUUGCCAGUGCCUUGGAUGCGGUCUUGUAGAUUACGUUGCAGAGGCUUAUGGGCCGGAAUUGUGCUAAAGUUUUUGGGCUAGCAAUCUUGGGAAUUAAGACGAUGAAUGUUUUGUUGAUCUCCUCCGGGGAAUCUUCUCCAUUAAGAACUCGAAGCACCAUAGCAGUUACCUCAUCACCACACAGCUCCCAGUGUCGCUGGAAAAAGUGUGCAGGGAAACCAUCGGGCCCUGGAGCCUUGGUCGGGAACAUUUGAAACAAAGCAGUUUUUACCUCUGAAUUGGUGUACUGGGCAUUCAGUGAGGCGUUCAUGGAAGCAUCCACUCUCGGUGGUAUAUGCGAAAGGACCUCCUCAAUGCCCACCGUUGCUUCUGAGGCAUAUAGAUUGCUGUAAAAAGAUGUGGCCAUGUCCGCCAUCUCCUGUUCGUUUGAGCAGGUAGAGCCGUCCGGCCUUUGCAGCCCCACGAUGCGAUUCUUAGCUCUCCGCGUGCUCGCCUUUCGGUGGAAAAAUUGGGUGUUACUGUCUCCUUCAGCUAGCCAUUGGAUCCUGGCCCGCUGACGCCACAUAAUUUCUUCCCUCAAACAAAGCUCAACCAUACAUGUUUACACCUGCUUCUCUUCGGCCGACGGACCCGCUCGGUUGGGUAGUGAACGGAGCUCAUCGAGCUUCUUGCGGAGUCGGCGGAGUUCAGCCCGAACUGCGCCAAAAGUGGAGUGUCCCCAUCUUUGCAGCCUGCCAGCGACCAAUGCCAGCUUGUCGGAUAGUUCUGUGAUGGUAUGUGCUUUCUCCAUUGAGUUCCAGGCCUCGUUUAGCACAUCUCCAAAGCGAGCAUCCCGUUCCCACAUACACUCAUAGCGGAAGCGUUUCUGUUUUGCACAAACGCAUGUAUCAUCCAGGGUAGUCUGCAGGAGGAUCAGGGAGUGAUCCGACUUUGCGGCUGUAAGAUGCUCAACUGAGGCGAACGGGAAAAGGCCGGACCAACAAGGAGAAGCCAAAGCUCUAUCCAGACGAACACGACAGAAAUAUCCUCCGGCUACCUUCUUCUCCCAUGUCCAGUCCAAACCACGGUACCCCAAGUCCGCGAGACCACAGACAUCAACUACUUCACGAAAAGCUUCGAUCUGGGCACUAUCACGCUCAUUUGGACCAUGUUGUUCUUCAGGCCGCAAGAUCUCGUUAAAGUCACCGAUGCACAUCCACGGGAGGGUACUUUCCCCUCUUAAACGCUUCAUAGUAUUCCAUGUUUUGUAACGCAAAUUUCUGGUUGCUUCUCCAUAGAAGCAAGUCAACCUCCAUUGCUCCUUCCCAGCCUCCGUCACCCAGGUGUCAACAUGGUACUCGGAAAAGAUUUUUAUUGCAACAUCCAAAGAGUUCUUCCAAAAGAUACAAAGGCCGCCACUGCGACCACUACUCCCUACUCCAAAGCUGAAAUCAAAACCUAACGACGUACGGAGACCUUCCACACGGCUUUUCUGUAGCUAAGUCUCAACUAAACAUAAAAUAGAUGGCGAGCUAAUCUCCACGAGGUCGUGGAGCUCACGAAAUGUCGCGGGGUCGCCUAUCCCGCGGCAGUUCCAGCUUAAGAUUUUCAUUGGGCCUAGCGGCGCUCCACGUCGGAGCCCGCCAAUGAUGCCAUCUUGUUGGUGUUCUGCUUCUUCGGUGAUGAUGCUGUUUUCGCCUUUUUUGCUUCUCAGGGGAUACAUACUUUGCUGGUAGUGGAGGGAUGGGAACCAAGGCCUAGCUAUGAUCGCCUGUUAUGCCCACUGCAGGUUCCUGUGGAUGCUUGUCUCCGCCGGGAGUCUCAGUGUUUUGGUCGAAAACCAGGUUCCUGCGUGCACCCGGCGUCUCAUCUUGCCUUGUUCCCGCAGCACUUGUUGGUUUCAGGGGCUUGUGACAUCAUCUUCUUCCUCCUCAGCAUCCGAGUUCAGGCCCGCGUCCUGUGACGAACUUUUACGUACUGGGGAGGGUUGACGCGGCUGUGCUCCACGUCCUAAUCUCCCUCUGCCCGGACCCCCGAACCUGCCCCCUCGAGGGGCUCGGCCUCCUUGUUGCUCCCGUGGAGUCUCUCUGCGCUGCGCGAGCAUCCAACCACCCCAUUGCUUGUCUUUUGCCUCCCAAACUCCAUCACCACAUUCUUCGUGGUUGUGACCCAUGAGACCGCAAAUCUGGCAAAAAUAUGGUAUCUUCUCAUACUUGAUUGGCAAAAGUUUCCUGCCCUCACCCAACACAUUCAGCGGGAUCACCCUCGUCAAGGGUUUACUGACCAAAAUCCUCGCAUGAACCCGGACGUAGUCACCUUCAUAGAAAAGCCUAGGUGAUAACUGUGUUUCCUUAACUCGGCCAAUGCGCUGGGCUAAUUGAUCAACCACUUUUGUCUUGCGGUACAAUUCAGGUAUGCCGUGGAUCUGCGCCCAAACGUACAGGCCAUCAAAGACGAAAGAUUCAGGGUCCUGCUUGCCAUCAUAGUCCUCAAGAAGCAUACCCAUCCCCCGAAACAGCCAGGGUCCUCCAUGAACUACUUUUUUCCAGUCUCCCAAGCAAAACAUCUGGAAGAUGUAUAGAUUUUCUCUUGCUUCUCUGUACUUUGGCACUUGAGCUAAUCCCCAGAUAGAUUUCAUCGUCUCGAACAUCGACGAUGAACUGAACUGCCGAGUCGUGUUGACCUUCCCAAUUGCUAGCCAACGCGCAUCUGCCGCAUAUUUCCUCGUAUCCUCUUCCCCCACGAUCACGUCAUCCAGCUCGUCGUCCUUGAGAUCCAAGUGCUGCAGCAUCUCCUCCAGCUUCUUCCCCGACCAGCUCGCGGAAGACGAACUCGCCUCAGCCACCAUCUAGGGUUUACCCUCGGGAGCCGCACGCCAAAAUCACAAAAAAACGACCAGAAACCCUAGCCGAUCUCUUCUUCCCCUCGACGGCACCGGAACGGGCUCGGGCGGAGAUGAGGUCGUCGGUAGAUGUGGAACUCUAAGCGGCGAUGAGAGUCGCCGCCAGAGGCGAAAACCCUAAACACGAGGGUAGAUGUACAUAUACCAAAGAUUCACCUAGCUCUGUUGGUAAUACAAUAUUUACACGACUAUGAACUUGUGAGUUCAAUUCCUCGCCCAAAAACAUUUUUUUGUCCCUGCUUUUUACCCCGUAUGUGGGCUCCCAGGUAGACCUACAAACGCACAAAGCCCAUCUAGAGGCCCAGCCGAGCGACGCAAGGAAAUAUUCAACGCAGCUGACGACCACGGACGAAAAUCGUGUGACGUACGAAGAAACGGACGAUAAUUCGGGAGGAAGAAGCAAUCAGCCCUUUAAUAAUAGGUAUAGAUGUUUAAAAUAUAUAUUGAUUCUCAGUUUUUUCUUCUUAUUUUAGAUUAAAAUUGGUGAAGCAUUCAUGUUCAAAGCUUAGCUUAGUCAGAUUUUAUUCAGGAACUUUAUUUUAUUCGUUAAUGUCAUGGUGUUCAUGUUCUAGGCUUAGCUCAACCAAAUAACAUGUAGGGAGCUCAAUUUUAUUUGUUAAUAUAAUGGUGGAAUCAUAUAUCUCUAAGGUGCAGUCAUUAGUCAAGUGUCAGUAACUUGCUGGUAGUUCUAUUAUGUCAUGAACUAAAAUGUUAAGGAGAUUUCUUCCGUUUUAUGAAUUAACGAUGUGGCCAACUAUUGUGAAGUCUCAAAAAUGAGAAAUGGUUGUCCAUCAGUUGGGCUCUUGAUUUUCUGCUUGGUUUUGUGAAAUACAUUUUGAUUAGGGUUAAGGUUGGCCCUUGGUCUCAGGUUGUCGCGUCGUCCUCGUCUUCGGCUUGCAAGGGAUUGGAUCUGGUGUGAUUGAUUCUUCCACUCGCAAGGUGGGUACAUCCUCUGUUUCGAUUUCUUCCACAAGUUUUGGUUUGCCUUGCCGGAUUGCUUCGCGUCUAUACACAAUUAUACCCAAAGCUCACUUUUCUUUCGUAACUCAUAUGGGGUGGCUCUUGGAUCCGCCUGUCCUGUUUAGGUUAUGAUGGCCGACGAACAGCUCCAAGUUCACGGGUCACCAGGCUCGCCGGGUGACACUGGCUCCAACAAUUGUCUGCGAGCAUUUGCCCAGUUCAAUUGACAUUUGUCGUGGCCCUUCUCUAUUUUUACUUGGAAAAAUAUAGUCCGUAUGUGCCUCAGCGAUUUUUAAAAUCUAAGGAAAUGCUCUAUGCAGAAAAAUACAUAUCUAAUCUAGGGGGUAUAUGUAAUAGCGGUAGAUAAAUAAUAAUGUUUAGAUUCAGGCAGUAUACUAUAGUCUGCCUUCUGGAGAGGGGGCCUAUGCUUGCUGAGUUCUUUGUAUGGUGCCUUCAGGGAGGCUGUGCGGUGCCGAGCGGAUGUACGGCGAGGUCUUCAUAAUGGCGUCAAGUCACCCUUGCCAUAUGGAUCAUAUGUAAGCUCUUCCUGCUAACCUAGAGGAGUACAUUUUGAUGCUUCAAGUCUGAACCUAUGUAACUUGUGAACUAAUGCCUCCCUGAGUGUGUGUGUGUGCGCGCACUAUGUUAAAUCAAACGCCUUCAGACUGCUGUGAAGUAAUGCCACUUGUCAUAUUGACCAAAUUUCAUUGCUUGAUGGCCAUUUAGAGUUGUCAAAAAUCUGGGACUGUGAAGUCCAUUUACAUUGUCAAAAAUCUCGGACUGUUUUCAGAGUUGCUACAACAAUGGAAUUUUCAGUUUGACAAAACCGUUUAAACUGAAAAUCUGGGACUUCACAUUUGCUACAACAGAGUUGUCAAAAAUUCAGUUUACACUGUUAGUUUGACAAAAACUGUCCAAACUGAAAAUUCAGUUAUAAUGGUGUAAGCAUUGUUAAUCUUUGUGGAUAAUUGUGGAUGCUGUGAAGUGAUUUAGAUGUCUGCUUUGCUGUGCAUACUGGCAUCAAAUAAUUCCAACUUAAUCAGUAGAAAAUUGGUAACUCAUGUAGGUUGGCAUCAAAUUAUUGCCAGUAAUACAUUUAUUGGCAAUCAGUACAUGAUCAGUGACUGAAUUAGUACAUGCAUAAUCAUCCCAACUCCCUUGUUCCAUACAACUGUAGAAAUAUAGUCCACAAUAUGUUGAUUUGCAUCUUGUUUGAGCUAGCUGGCACUGUACGGUUCAGAUGUUGUAGGCUGCAAGCAUCAAAGUUGAAGAGGCUAUUAACAGAAAUAAUUUUCUCAUAUUCUUAUUUUUUCUUCAAGAGUAAUUUGUUUUGUUAUCAAUGGUCUAAGAUUUGGUCCUUGAUUAAAACUGUCAUGCCUUCUUCUUUUUGCUUGUUCUAAUCUGCGAAGUAGUGACUGGUCAGGUUGACCUUUUUUUUCAAAAAUGAAAAAAAAUUCUACUCCUAGAUAAUACAUUUACAGUACUAAAAAAUUGUAAACUGGAACCAGCUAGUUUCUUCUUUGAUUUAUGUGCCGCUUGAAGGUGCAUAUAUGUAACUAAUGGCCCAUAGGUUACCAUUCUGUGUGAUGUGUCAUCCAUGGACACACUUUUCUCCUCUUGUAUUCCAAUCACACCCUGUGGUGACCUUGGUUCAGCCAAGAGCAUGUGGUGAUAGAUGUGUCCUCUUGUUUGACAAAAAUUUAUUCAAAACUUUGCUUUACUGAACGCAAUUUGCCCUGUUUUGUCUGAACUUGGUUCAACCUGGAAAAUAUACUCCAUUCUUACUGAAACUUACUGAACUAACAGUAGGAGCAGGGCAAAAUGGAGCUGCAACCAAGCUAACAAGAACCAAUCUAAAGUUCUGAAGCUUACUGAAUCAAGAUGCAAGAAGAUGAGGAUGCAACCAAUGCUAUACUCCAUUUUUAUUUACUGAAUCUAAAGUUCUGAAACAUACUGAAUCGUAUCUAAUGCAGUUUUCAAGUUUAGUUAGUCAACCCAGUCCAUUAAUUCUUAGCUUAGACUGAACAUUUGGUUACUCCAAUUAAUCCAGGUUACUCCAAUUAAUCCAAAUUACAGCCACUACUCCAAAUUACAGUCACUAUACAGGAUAUACAAUUCAGUUUAGGCGCUCAUCAAAUUACAGAACAAACAUCCAAUUAAUCCAACUGGAUGAUCCACUGGUGAUCUAAUUCAAAUCAAUUUCACAUCAAUCUGAUCUAAAAUGAUGUUAUCCAAACAAUCUCAUAUCAAUUUGUCCAUAUGACAGCAAUUUCUGGGAGGGGCGCUGGUACCUUCAACAGCAGCAGAGCCGGGGUCACCUGGACGAAUAAGAAGAUUGGGGCCGCCUGGACGAAGAUCGGGAGCUGCACCACUACUAGCAGAAGCAACAGAGGCGGAGGAAGAUGGAAACACCAGAAGAGGCCGGAGUGGCGAAAGACAACGUGCCGACGGCCGAAGCGGACGGCGCAGGCCCUGCGAGCGGUGGUGGUCACCUCUGUGGCAGCUGCGCAGGUGGGCGGCGGUGCUGGUGACUCGAGGAGGACGACAAGGAGGUUCUGCCCGUCAGCCGUGCAGCCGCCGUCCGUCGAGGUGUCACCGCAGAGGAGCAGGUGGGCGGGGGGAAGCUCGCCUCCGUGUGCGCAGGUAAGCAGGGGUGCAAGUUGGCAGCUGCGGUGCAAGCUGAGCUCUACGACGGCUGGGGCGUGCGGUGCCCCGCGGCGACAGGGGAGACGGUGGCUGGGGCACGCAGUGCCCGCGGGCGACGGGGUGGAAGACGGGUUGAUUAACAAGAGAAUUAAAAAGAUAAGGGUUUAUUUGCAAAAUUAUAAAUGAACUAAGCUGAGGACAAGUUUUGCCGGACGGAUAGAGUAUUUAAUACAUAUAAAUAUUGUGCUCAAGAAAACUUAUUUAUCUGUUGUUGCAUACUUCGAUAUCACCUAUGGAUACGCCUUUGAAUGUCAACAUAUAACUGCUUUAUCAUCCCCAACAUUCAGGAUACAUAAACGGGGAUGGCGUUGCUCAAAGGCGAGCACACAUUACCGUGUUGAAGGAGUUUUGCCUCUGUUUAUGCCUCAAAUAUCUAUGUUGCCUCUUUGUGCUAUCACUACUAGGCCCUCUUUAUUUUGUUUAUCAAGCAAAUGUUGGAUCUGAUGAGGAUUUACUCACGCUGGAUCUGUACAACUAUGG